rnacentral:lncRNA from 1 species
AGACUCUGAAUUCCUCUGUACACUUGGGUGCAAGAAAUGUCCACACUUCCCUCCAGCUUCUGGGAACUCAUCUUCUCCGGUUUGGGGCAUAGCUGUCUCCCCUGUGAAGCAUCGCCUUCCAUCUCUUCCCUUUUUAGGAGGACUUCAGCUUCUCUUCUUGAAGAGCCAAGAACUCUCACAGUCCUGGUUGGGGCUUUUUCCAGGAUAGUUUUUUGUUGUUGUUGUUGUUAAGAUUUUAUAUUUUUUCCCUUUUUCUCCUCAAGCCCCCCAGUGCAUAGUUGUAUAUAUUUUUAGUUGUGGGUCUUUCCAGUUGUGGCAUGUGGGAUGCCGCCUCAGCAUGGCUUGAUGAGCAGUGCUGCGUCUGCGCCCAGGAACCAAACUGCUGAAACCCUUGGCCGUAGAAGCGGAGCGCAUAAACUUAACCACUCGGCUGCAGGGCCGGCCUGACCCCUCCAGGAUAGUCUUUGAAACGCAAAGAAGCUCUUAAAGUUCUUACACCUGAGCAUAACAGGAUCCUGAGCCUCAGGACAAAAAGCCAACGUUCUGUCCAGAGAGGAAAAGGAGGAAUUACCUGGUAGCACGGAAGUAUGAACAUCUGAAUUAGGUGGUCCGGGUGACAGAGCUCUGAGAACAGUGAUGCACUUUGCCAGGAAGCCCUGGCUCAUAAUUGGAUGACAUCAGGAGGCUUCCCACCCACUCCUCUGGAUCCGUCAAGGCACAGAGUCUCAUUGUUAAUGACUUUCACUCUGAACAGCUGCUGGCUCUUGUUGGCUUCAUUCACUGUGAAGAUGGUGGUCAUACAUCCCAGAUUUGAAAUAAUCUGUCCUGUUUUCAGACCUUGUGUCAGGCCAUCUGCCUUGGUAUCUCAUUAGGAAAAUAUGAUCACUUUAAGGAUGGCACAAUCUCUUCCAACUUCUCGGCCCUCUUGGAGGCUCACCCCAUAUGUCUCGUUGUCUUGGACACCUUUUUAGGUGAUGUCCCUUCUCCUUUGGCCAAUUAGCAACAUUCCCCAUGCAUCUUCAGUGGAAAUGCCCUCUCUUUAGGGAUCCUCCCUUGAAGAGAUUUCAAUCUAGUGA